AACAGGAUUACAUACCCUGGUAGUCCACGCUGCCCACGAUGUCGAUUUGGAGGUUGUGCCCUUGAGGCGUGGCUUCCGGAGCUAACGCGUUAAAUCGACCGCCUGGGGAGUACGGCCGCAAGGUUAAAACUCAAAUGAAUUGACGGGGGCCCGCACAAGCGGUGGAGCAUGUGGUUUAAUUCGAUGCAACGCGAAAAACCUUACCUACUCUUGACAUCCAGAGAACUUUCCAGAGAUGGAUUGGUGCCUUCAGGAACUCUGAGACAGGUGCUGCAUGGCUGUCGUCAGCUCGUGUUGUGAAAUGUUGGGUUAAGUCCCGCAACGAGCGCAACCCUUAUCCUUUGUUGCCAGCGGUUCGGCCGGGAACUCAAAGGAAACUGCCAGUGAUAAACUGGAGGAAGGUGGGGAUGACGUCAAGUCAUCAUGGCCCUUACGAGUAGGGCUACACACAUGCUACAAUGGCGUAUACAAAGAGAAGCGACCUCGCGAGAGCAAGCGGACCUCAUAAAGUACGUCGUAUUCCGGAUUGGAGUCUGCAACUCGACUCCAUGAAGUCGAGAAUCGCUAGUAAUCGUAGAUCAGAAUGCCACGGUGAAUACGUUCCCGGGCCUUGUACACACCGCCCGUCACACCAUGGGAGUGGGUUGCAAAAGAAGUAGGUAGCUUAACCUUCGGGAGGGCGCUUACCACUUUGUGAUUCAUGACCGGGGGUGAAGUCGUAACAAGGUAACCAA
rnacentral:rRNA from 1 species